GAUGAACGCUAGCGGGAGGCCUAACACAUGCAAGCCGAGCGGUAUUGUUUCUUCGGAAAUGAGAGAGCGGCGUACGGGUGCGUAACACGUGUGCAACCUGCCUUUAUCUGGGGGUUAGCCUUUCGAAAGGAAGAUUAAUACUCCAUAAUAUAUUGAACGGCAUCGUUUAAUAUUGAAAGCUCCGGCGGAUAGAGAUGGGCACGCGCAAGAUUAGCUAGUUGGUGAGGUAACGGCUCACCAAGGCGAUGAUCUUUAGGGGGCCUGAGAGGGUGAUCCCCCACACUGGUACUGAGACACGGACCAGACUCCUACGGGAGGCAGCAGUGAGGAAUAUUGGUCAAUGGGUGCAAGCCUGAACCAGCCAUCCCGCGUGAAGGACGACUGCCCUAUGGGUUGUAAACUUCUUUUGUAUAGGGAUAAACCUACCCUCGUGAGGGUAGCUGAAGGUACUAUACGAAUAAGCACCGGCUAACUCCGUG
rnacentral:rRNA from 1 species